AUAAUAUUAAAAGGCCAAUAAAGAUUGUUGUUUACAAAAUUUAGCAUAAAUUAAACAAAAAUGAAAAUAAUGUUAAUAAAAAUUAAAUAUAUAAUAUUUAUUUACAAACCAAGAUUAUAGAGAGAAUCUGAGAAACUUGAACAAAAAUUCAGCUUCUACGUCUAAAAAAAAGGCCCAAACUUCGUCUUUAAUUUGUAUCGUAAUUAUCCACAACUUUAUUUAUCCACUUAUGUGUUUUCCUGUAGGUGCAUUUUUUUUAUGAAUCGUACCAUCUUAUAAAUAUCGAGACAUUAUCUCAGCUGUAAGGUCAUGACCUUUGUUGUCAUAGCAGUGAGUAGUGUUUUAUGCUUUGAUUCGAAUUUUUGCACGAGAUGUUCCGUGUAAUUGUUUAAGAUAAGCCGCAUUUCCGGGUGAAUGGUUUUAAGGGCACGAGGUGUUUGUUUUAAAAAGUGAACAUAUUUUCUGCACAUAUAACAUGAAAUAAUUAUUCACCUUCGACCAGAGACGUUAGUAACGUGACGUUGGCGGCUUUGCGUCUUCCAGCAGAAUAGAAACGGAGGCUCGUGACGUGAUUGAAGAACAGCGGCUGCAAACAGCACGAGCGCGCGGCUGCGGCCGCCGUCCUACCUUCUCAACACGCCCCCCAACAAGGAGGCGUUGAGGCACUCGGGCGGGGACAGUCUCCUCUGCACCUCCCCUACGGUCACUUUGUACUUGGACGUGGAGCUGAGCAGCGACAGGCGGCCCGGUACCGAGCAGAACACCUCGUUGAUGUUGACGGUCACGCCGCCGAUCAGCCCGUCCUUGCCGAGCAUCAGGGAGCCCAUGUUCUUGGGCGGCAUGGGAACUGGAAGAGGAAGAUUGAUCCAGGAUGUUCGUUCCGUUCGUGUCUUCAAUGGUCUGUUAAAACACAAUUAAAUACAUAUAAUUAUGGUCAGAUUUAUGCAGAUCAUAUUAAUAUUGUGACAAUGCAAUAACCAUAAUGAGCAUCUGUUUAUAUUAUUUUUCAACGUCACCAUAAAUAAAUCUACAGAAUUAAUUCUAGUUGCAACCGCAUAGAAAUAAUCGUCGUUAGUUGUUUUGUAUCCACGUGUUAAUCACAUCUAGUUCUUUAUUAUCAUGGAUUGUCGUGAAGAAUCCAGUCUUUCACAUUUUUAGCCUCUGUCUUUAAUCCCUUUCAUCAAAUAACUCCCUUUUUAAAUAAUCCCAAAUGUCAUCGACGAAUCACUCCACUUUAAAAAGGGGAACGCAAAGAAUAUUUGUUCAAACACAAUUCUUUGGGGUUAAUAAAUGUAUGACUCAAACACGAAAACCAGAAAUGAGAAUGUGUUGUUGAGGUUAAAUGGCAAGUAAAUCGUGA